rnacentral:rRNA from 1 species
GACGAACCGUGCGAACGUUGUCCGGAAUCACUGGGCGUAAAGCGCGUGUAGGCGGUUCGAUAAGUCUGCUGUGAAAGUCCAGGGCUCAACCCUGGAAAGCCGGUGGAUACUGUCGGACUAGAGUGCGGAAGAGGCGAGUGGAAUUCCCGGUGUAGCGGUGAAAUGCGCAGAUAUCGGGAGGAACACCAAUUGCGAAGGCAGCUCGCUGGGACGUUACUGACGCUGAGACGCGAAAGCGUGGGGAGCGAACAGG